rnacentral:rRNA from 1 species
GUCUGUGAAAUUCNGGGGCUUAACUCCGGGCGUGCAGGCGAUACGGGCACGACUAGAGUGCUGUAGGGGUAACUGGAAUUCCUGGUGUAGCGGUGAAAUGCGCAGAUAUCAGGAGGAACACCGAUGGCGAAGGCAGGUUACUGGGCAGUUACUGACGCUGAGGAGCGAAAGCAUGGGGAGCGAACAGGAUUAGAUACCCUGGUAGUCCAUGCUGUAAACGGUGGGCGCUAGGUGUGGGCUGUGUGUUUGCAGUCUGUGCCGUAGCUAACGCAUUAAGCGCCCCGCCUGGGGAGUACGGCCGCAAGGCUAAAACUCAAAGGAAUUGACGGGGGCCCGCACAAGCGGCGGAGCAUGUGGAUUAAUUCGAUGCAACGCGAAGAACCUUACCUGGGUUUGACAUGCACCAGAUCGGCGUAGAGAUACGUCCUCCCUUGUGGUUGGUGCACAGGUGGUGCAUGGUUGUCGUCAGCUCGUGUCGUGAGAUGUUGGGUUAAGUCCCGCAACGAGNNNNNNCCUUGUCUUAUGUUGCCAGCACAUUUUUGGUGGGGACUCAUGAGAAACUGCCGGGGUCAACUCGGAGGAAGGUGGGGAUGACGUCAAAUCAUCAUGCCCUUUAUACCCAGGGCUUCACACAUGCUACAAUGGUCGGUACAACGGGUUGCGACACUGUGAAGUGAAGCUAAUCUCUUAAAGCCGGCCUCAGUUCGGAUUGGGGUCUGCAACUCGACCCCA